GCCUUUGCAGCUGGAGACAGUACGCCGAACGACUCAAAAGAACUCGGCCGCAUGCAAGUCAGCGCCUGCUGGCGACACUUUCGAAUUGACGGGGACCCCCUAAAACCCUUCCCACCAAGCCAGCCCGGGAAACCGGCUGGUGGCCUGUUCUAACGCACAGGGUACGGUAACAGAGGAAGCGGAUGAACCGAGUGCUCUCUCCGGGGCCUUGGGGAAAUGGGCGAUCCGCAGCGAAGCCCCUUCUCUGCCCCCGCGGCAGAUGGGGAACGUUCACAGACUAAGUGGAAGUGGGUGGGGCACUGCCCUGCUUAAGAUAUAGUCGGGCCCCUGGGGAAACCUUGGGGAGCGUGGCACUCGCAGGUGCCAGUCGAAAAAAACCGUUCCGUAGGUGAACCUUCGGAAGGAUCAUUACCAUAACGCGGUUGCCCGGUCAGGGCAGCCACACGCGUUCUUACCACCCUUGACUUUGAGCACCUUCAUGUUUCCUCGGCAGGGACGCCUGCCAGCGAGGACCCCCCAAAAACCUUUUGCAGUUUGCAGUAUUUGUCUGAAAACAAACAUAAUAAUCAAAACUUUCAACAAUGGAUCUCUUGGUUCUGGCAUCGAUGAAGAACGCAGCGAAAUGCGAUAAGUAGUGUGAAUUGCAGAAUUCAGUGAAUCAUCGAAUCUUUGAACGCACAUUGCGCCCUAUAGUAUUCUGUAGGGCAUGCCUGUUCGAGCGUCAUUUAACCCCUCAAGCCCAGCUUGGUAUUGGGUGCUUGUCCCGCCUCCUGCGCGGCGACUCACCUCAAAGUCAUUGGCAGCCCGCAAUCGCCGGCCGUGAGCGCAGCACAGACGCGCUUGUGGAAUCCGGCGGCUCGGCUCUCCAAAAGCUUGUUCAACCACAA
rnacentral:rRNA from 1 species